UUUUAGAUGCUUUAAUAGUGGCAUUGAACCAUCUGAAGGAAGCCACAGAAAACCGGUCUGAGAUUAUAAAAAGAAGAAUUAUUUUACUCUCUGACCUUGGAGGCCAUUGCAAGGAAGAACAGACAAAUGCUGUGAUUAAGAAAGUAAAGGAUUUGUGUGCAGAGUUGAAUUUUAUUGGACCAUUUGACACAAACAAACAUGGAAGAUCAACAGUGUUGGGUGAAGAAUAUAAAUUAUUACCAAGACAACAAGCAGGAGGAUAUAUCAUAAGUAAUAUUCUUCUCAAUGUAGGAGGCACCUAUGUUAGCUUCAAAGAAGCAUUGUCAAAAGAAGGUACAUUCCAAUUCAAUGUUGCUGACAAAACCAUUGUUGCUGACAAAAAACUUGUUGCUGACAAAAC